rnacentral:rRNA from 1 species
AGUGAACGCUGGCGGUAGGCCUAACACAUGCAAGUCGAACGGCAGCACAGUAAGAGCUUGCUCUUACGGGUGGCGAGUGGCGGACGGGUGAGGAAUACAUCGGAAUCUACUUUUUCGUGGGGGAUAACGUAGGGAAACUUACGCUAAUACCGCAUACGACCUACGGGUGAAAGCAGGGGGUCUUCGGACCUUGCGCGAUUGAAUGAGCCGAUGUCGGAUUAGCUAGUUGGCGGGGUAAAGGCCCACCAAGGCGACGAUCCGUAGCUGGUCUGAGAGGAUGAUCAGCCACACUGGAACUGAGACACGGUCCAGACUCCUACGGGAGGCAGCAGUGGGGAAUAUUUGACAAUGGGCGCAAGCCUGAUCCAGCCAUACCGCGUGGGUGAAGAAGGCCUUCGGGUUGUAAAGCCCUUUUGUUGGGAAAGAAAAGCAGCAGGUUAAUACCCCGCUGUUCUGACGGUACCCAAAGAAUAAGCACCGGCUAACUUCGUG